rnacentral:rRNA from 1 species
AUUGAACGCUGGCGGAAUGCUUUACACAUGCAAGUCGAACGGUAGAGGGGGCAACCCCUUGAGAGUGGCGAACGGGUGAGUAAUAUAUCGGAACGUGCCCAGUCGUGGGGGAUAACGUAGUGAAAAUUACGCUAAUACCGCAUACGAUCUAAGGAUGAAAGCGGGGGAUCGCAAGACCUCGCGCGAUUGGAGCGGCCGAUAUCAGAUUAGGUAGUUGGUAGGGUAAAGGCCUACCAAGCCAACGAUCUGUAGCUGGUCUGAGAGGACGACCAGCCACACUGGAACUGAGACACGGUCCAGACUCCUACGGGAGGCAGCAGUGGGGAAUUUUGGACAAUGGGCGAAAGCCUGAUCCAGCCAUUCCGCGUGCAGGAUGAAGGCCCUCGGGUUGUAAACUGCUUUUGUACAGAACGAAAAGGUCUCUAUUAAUACUAGGGGCUCACGACGGUACUGUAAGAAUAAGCACCGGCUAACUACGUGCCAGCAGCCGCAGUAA